rnacentral:lncRNA from 1 species
UUAUUCAGGUGGUUCAGCCCUGAAUUUGUAUUUAACCCACCCAAGUGCACAUACACAGCAGUGAGUAGUGAACACACACACACACACACACACACACACACACACACACACACACACACACACACACACACACAUCUGGUACAGUAAAAAAAAAAUAAAAAAAAAAGAGCGCGAAACCUGACCAAUCACAGAAAAGCUUUUAUUUCCCGCUUGGAGAAAGAAGAAAUCGAAGACACACAGAUGCAAGAAGAACCAGUCAGAUGCAAAGGGGUCUCUGCCUUGGGUUUGACCACGUCAGGAGCUGGUUCAUUGUGAGGAUUAACCCUGACAACAGCAAGUGUUCCUCAAAGUUCCAGGUCAGCAAAAGGAGUGGGAAGAUGGUGCAAAGUAAGAACUCUGGCUAUACUCAUGUAUCCUCCUUCAUUAAGGAGUUUCUGGUUUUCAGCUGGCAAAACUAUUAAGCUACUAAGAGCAAAUACAUUCUACACAGGAGUUUUCUGAAUUUGUACGUUUUUAAGAUUGUUCUUAUGACUGAAUCUGUUCAUGUCUGUUAUUUUUAAAUGCUCUUAAUAUGAAACUUUUAUGUAUAAAUGAAAUGUUUUCAAGUUUUUGGAAAACUGAAAGUACAAUCUGCAAGAAUAUUAAAAUGUUAUUUCAAGUAUUACAAUUGUACAAUUAAAUCAAUAAAAGAAGUUAAACAGUCUUUUGAUUCUUUUUAUAGUUUUUACUACUGAGACCUGUUGUAAUACAAUAAUUUGUCCAGUUUUACAAUAAAUAGUAAAAGUGGACAACAAAUUACAGUAAAUUUCAGUGUAAAGUAAUAUUUUUAUUGUAUUAAAAUAUAUCAAUGGAGAAAAGAACAACAUUGUGUUUUACAGUAAAAAAUAUAUUAUAUUGUAAAUAAAUUUACAGCAAGUUAAAUGGUACUGUAAAUAUGAAUACAGUAUUUUUACUGUAAGUUUAAUUUACAGUAAGUUACUGGCAAACUGCUGCCAGUAAGUUACUGUAAUUUCUACAGGAAAUUUUUUACAGUGUUGAUUUGCAUUUCAUUCUGAGAGUAUCUAAAAUGUUCUCCUUGAGUAUGAGCUCUAUAAUGUAUCAAAAAGAAUAAUUUAUCAAAUAU